GCUGUGAUGGCUCAGUGGAUUGAGCGUCGUCCCAUGGACCAAGAGGUCCUGGGUUCGAUUCCCAGUCAGGGCA
rfam:Myotis lucifugus cont2.37900, whole genome shotgun sequence.